AAGGAACGUUAAAGACUAUGACGUUGAUAGGUCGGGUGUGUAAGCGCAGCGAUGCGUUGAGCUAACCGAUACUAAUGAACCGUGAGGCUUAACCUUACAACGCCGAAGGUGUUU
rnacentral:rRNA from 1 species